rnacentral:rRNA from 2 species
UUAGCGGCGGACGGGUGAGUAACACGUGGGCAACCUACCUAUAAGACUGGGAUAACUUCGGGAAACCGGAGCUAAUACCGGAUGACACUGAGGAACUCCUGUUCCUUAGUUGAAAGAUGGCUUCGGCUAUCACUUAUAGAUGGGCCCGCGGCGCAUUAGCUAGUUGGUGAGGUAACGGCUCACCAAGGCGACGAUGCGUAGCCGACCUGAGAGGGUGAUCGGCCACACUGGGACUGAGACACGGCCCAGACUCCUACGGGAGGCAGCAGUAGGGAAUCUUCCGCAAUGGACGAAAGUCUGACGGAGCAACGCCGCGUGAGCGAUGAAGGCCUUCGGGUCGUAAAGCUCUGUUGUUAGGGAAGAACAAGUGCUAGUUAAAUAAGCUGGCACCUUGACGGUACCUAACCAGAAAGCCACGGCUAACUACGUGCCAGCAGCCGCGGUAAUACGUAGGUGGCAAGCGUUGUCCGGAAUUAUUGGGCGUAAAGCGCGCGCAGGCGGUUUCUUAAGUCUGAUGUGAAAGCCCCCGGCUCAACCGGGGAGGGUCAUUGGAAACUGGGAAACUUGAGUGCAGAAGAGGAAAGUGGAAUUCCAAGUGUAGCGGUGAAAUGCGUAGAGAUUUGGAGGAACACCAGUGGCGAAGGCGACUUUCUGGUCUGUAACUGACGCUGAGGCGCGAAAGCGUGGGGGAGCAAACAGGAUUAGAUACCCCUGGUAGUCCACGCUGUAAACGAUGAGUGCUAAGU